GCGUACACAUGCAAGUCGAACGAGAACCAGGAAGCUUGCUUCCUGGGGACAGUGGCGAACGGGUGAGUAACACGUGAGUAAUCUGCCCUCGAGUGGGGAAUAACUUCGCGAAAGCGGAGAUAAUACCGCAUAACACUCUGAAGCAUAAGCUUUCAGAGUCAAAGCCUUCGGGCGCUUGAGGAUGAGCUCGCGGCCUAUUAGCUUGUUGGUAGGGUAACGGCCUACCAAGGCUUCGAUGGGUAGCCGGCCUGAGAGGGUGUACGGCCACACUGGAACUGCGACACGGUCCAGACUCCUACGGGAGGCAGCAGUGGGGAAUUUUGCGCAAUGGGCGAAAGCCUGACGCAGCGACGCCGCGUGGAGGAUUAAGGCCUUCGGGUUGUAAACUCCUGUCAGAGGUGAAGAAAGUCUCCUUCGGGAGGCCUGACGGUAACCUCAGAGGAAGCCCCGGCUAACUACGUGCCAGCAGCCGCGGUAAUACGUAGGGGGCAAACGUUGCUCGGAAUUACUGGGCGUAAAGGGUGUGUAGGUGGCUGUGCAAGUCAUUGAUGAAAUCCCGAGGCUCAACCUCGGAAUUGUCUCUGAAACUGCGCAGCUUGAGGAUAUUUGAGGAAAACGGAAUUCCCGGUGGAGCGGUGAAAUGCGUAGAUAUCGGGAGGAACGCCAGAGGCGAAGGCGGUUUUCUAGAAUAUUCCUGACACUGAGACACGAAAGCUAGGGGAGCGAACGGGAUUAGAUACCCCGGUAGUCCUAGCUGUAAACGAUGGGUACUAGAUGUUUCCGUGUUAUGCGGGAGUGUCGAAGUUAACGCGUUAAGUACCCCGCCUGGGGAGUACGGUCGCAAGGCUGAAACUCAAGGAAUUGACGGGGACCCGCACAAGCGGUGGAGCAUGUGGUUUAAUUCGACGCAACGCGAAAAACCUUACCUGGGCUUGAACUGCUGGUAGUAAGAUCCCGAAAGGGGAUGAGCCUGCUUGCAGGAAGCCAGUAAAGGUGCUGCAUGGCUGUC
rnacentral:rRNA from 1 species